rnacentral:lncRNA from 1 species
AAGAUAGCCCAGAUUUCUCAUUUCUCCAUAUACACUUUAUGUUCUAGAUUGAAUUACAAAAAGAUGGUGAACGGUGUCUAUGAGAGAGGCAAGAAAGAAGCAGGCAGCCAGACCUCAGAGGUGGUGGGGAAGAAAAUCUCGAUAUCAUAUGAGGAAGUGACUGUAUGCUUGGAAAAUCAGCUAGCAGAAGCUUGGUAGGCAGGAUCUGCUUACUGCAGUGCAGCAGGCAGCCACAGGCUAGUGUUUGAAGGCUUUUGAAGCAUGCGUAUGUUUACUGAGGAAAGCAACUGUGCACCUGAUAUUUACCCACCAAAGAUUCUGAUCUUUCAGAUGAAGUUGUAACAGAAUCCCAUAGAGUGAUGGAGAGAAGUGGUGAUUUCCUUUUACUGCUCUUCAUACCUGAAAUUCACUUGUUAUUGAAAGAAGGUGACAGAGUUCUAAGAGUCUUCAAUGAAGCCUUGCUGACAAUGUCUGAGCUCAUUAUCUGCUCUGAGAUGCUACUACCUUUUCAUUUUCCUGGGCUUAUCCAUACAAGUUACAAAUGAAUGUCUUUGAAACUCACUUGCAGAGUUCUUAUCAGAUGUGCAUAUAAAAUCCAAGUCUCCUCAUUCUUCCAUUGUUAAAACUGUUUCCAAUUAAAAUGACUGAUUAUUUUUCUUCCUUACCUAAUUAUUUUGAAGUCUGUCUCAUAAUUCACUGUUACCUUUAUGAAUUUUCAAAAAAAAAUAAGAUAUGAGAUUGAUUAGGAGUUACUGUCAAUUAAAACUUGUAUUAACUUGCUUAACAAAAUAAUUUAUGUCUGAGGUACUCUCAGGUAACUUCCAUGACAUAUUUUCACAAGCGUGCUGUCUGAUGCAACCAACCUAAUGGUUUUUUAUCUAAGGAAAACGACAGAAUUCCUAACAGUUGAAAAUGCAGCUGGUCUCCUUAUGUUAUUUAUAAAACCUCAGGUUUUAUUCAGUGAGCUGUCAUGAAGACAGUGCUCAUGGAUUACACUGACACACUCUGCACAUCUAAGAACUCCAUUUGAAACUUCACAAACACUUUUCACUUAUGCAAUUCUACAGUCAAAUGCCACCUUAAAACUGCAGUGAAGUAUUGAAAGGCCAGCAUGUAGGAAUUACUAGCUUUCCUUUUACCAAACUGGGUAUGUUGUGGAUAACACCACCUUAGAAUUCCAAAUGGUGUCUUACCACCUUUACUUUGUAGCAGAACAAAAAAUGUAUUUUUAUGAACACUUCAAGCCAACCCAUUUGUGAUCUCUGUUGAAAGGCUUCGGCUCAUUAUAGCAUUUGACAUCAGGCUGGUGAAAUUGUUGUGGAGGGAUACAUAUAUACACAGAGAAUUAAUAGUGUAAUCUGUGAAGUGGGAUAAGAGAAAGCUAACUCCAAGCUUUCUUUUCUUUUAAAGAAUUUAUACUGUAAAUAAAAGUCAGUGCAUUACUCUUUCUUCCUUCCA